UACGGAGGGUGCAAGCGUUAUCCGGAUUCACUGGGUUUAAAGGGUGCGUAGGUGGGUCUGUAAGUCAGCGGUGAAAUCUCCGAGCUUAACUCGGAAACUGCCAUUGAUACUAUAGGUCUUGAAUCAUCUGGAGGUGAGCGGAAUAUGUCAUGUAGCGGUGAAAUGCUUAGAUAUGACAUAGAACACCAAUUGCGAAGGCAGCUCACUACGGAUGUAUUGACACUGAG
rnacentral:rRNA from 1 species